UGGGGAAUAUUGCACAAUGGGGGAAACCCUGAUGCAGCAACGCCGCGUGAGUGAAGAAGUCAUUCGUGAUGUAAAGCUCUAUCAGCAGGGAAGAAAAUGACGGUACCUGAGUAAGAAGCCCCGGCUAACUACGUGCCAGCAGCCGCGGUAAUACGUAGGGGGCAAGCGUUAUCCGGAUUUACUGGGUGUAAAGGGAGCGUAGACGGCCAGACAAGUCUGAAGUGAAAAUCCAGCGCUUAACGUUGGAAGUGCUUUGGAAACUGCCGGGCUGGAGUGCAGGAGGGGCAGGCGGAAUUCCUAGUGUAGCGGUGAAAUGCGUAGAUAUUAGGAGGAACACCAGUGGCGAAGGCGGCCUGCUGGACUGCAACUGACGUUGAGGCUCGAAGGCGUGGGGAGCAAACAGG
rnacentral:rRNA from 1 species